GAUGAACGCUGGCGGCGUGCCUAAUACAUGCAAGUCGAGCGAACAGACGAGGCGUUUGCCUCUCUGCCGUUAGCGGCGGACGGGUGAGUACCACGUGGCUACCUUACCUUUAAGACUGGGAUCCCUUCGGGAACGCGGAGCCCAUAUCGGUUCUUAUAUUGAACCGCAUAGUUCUUCAGUGAUCGCCGGUUUUGAUGUGACUUAUACAUGGUACCGCGUCGCAUUAGCUAGUUGGUACGGUAACGGCUUACCAAGGCAACGAUGCGUAGCCGACCUGAGAGGAUGAUCAGCCACACUGGAACUGAGACACGGUCCAGACUCCUACGGGAGGCAGCAGUAGGGAAUCUUGCACAAUGGGCGAAAGCCUGACGGAGCAACGCCGCGUGAGUGAAGAAGGUCUUCGGAUCGUAAAGCUCUGUUAGUAGGGAAGAACAAAAGUGUGAGUAACUAUGCACGUCUUGACGGUACCUAAUCAGAAAGCCACGGCUAACUACGUG
rnacentral:rRNA from 1 species